GAGAGGGCUGGAGAGAUGGCUCAGAGGU
rnacentral:piRNA from 1 species